rnacentral:rRNA from 1 species
UACGGGAGGCAGCAGUGGGGAAUAUUGCACAAUGGGCGAAAGCCUGAUGCAGCUAUGCCGCGUGUAUGAAGAAGGCCUUAGGGUUGUAAAGUACUUUCAUCGGGGAGGAAAAAACAAAACUAAUAAUUUUAUUUCUUGACGUUACCCGAAAAAGAAGCACCGGCUAACUCCGUGCCAGCAGCCGCGGUAAUACGGAGGGUGCUAGCGUUAAUCAGAAUUACUGGGCGUAAAGAGCACGUAGGUGGUUUUUUUAAAGUCAGAUGUGAAAUCCCUGGGCUUAACCUAGGAACUGCAUUUUGAAACUGAAAUACUAGAGUAUCGUAGAGGGAGGUAGAAUUCUAGGUGUAGCGGUGAAAUGCGUAGAUAUCUGGAGGAAUACCUGUGGCGAAAGCGGCCUCCUAAACGAAUACUGACACUGAGUGCGAAAGCGUGGGGAGCAAACAGGGAUUAGAUACC